CAGAAGAUAGUUUAAUUAAAAUUUUAAUUUUGGAGAUUAAAGAUAAGAUAAAUAUCUUUCUUCUGA
rnacentral:tRNA from 1 species